UUAAUUGAUGACACGCAAGCACUCCAGCGCCACGCACGGCUGAAGAGUGGCGUUCGAAAUCGAUUGGGUGACGGCAGUCUGCUGCUGUUAAAGAUGAUGGUCGAAUCAAAAGCGUCCGCACAGAAAAGGAAGGAUCUUUGACGUCAAGUUUUGACUUUUGUAGAUAAUUGAAAGCUGGCAAUCUACCUCCCAAUCCAACGUGGGGUCCACCGGUCAACGAUCUCAAGAUUUUCUAGAAAUUCCGUCUAAACGAUGUCUGAUCGGAUGAAACGGAAAAAAGCCCCCGGCGAGGAUCGAACUCGCGACCUUUCGCUUACGAAGCGAACGCACUACCACUAUGCUACGGAGGCAACUGAUACAUGUUCUCGCAGAUGAAAAUGCUAAACUUUAACUCUCUAUCGACUUCAAAACCCUGAGAAAACAGUAAGACCACUCCGUAAUCUCUCUGUCGAGAGCGCGGCAGCAAGAUGUGUGGAAUCGCUUUGCUUGUCUCCGGCAUUCGCGUCGACUUAUCAUCCCUACAUCUCGAUUCCACAUCUCCUUCCUCUAAAACCCACCUAGUUUUUUCUGUAGAUGAUCUUAAAGCAGCUUUACAAAGACGAGGACCCGACAGCUUGGGCACCAAGAAGCUUCUGCUCCUUCAUUCGAACACUUCAAGUACUGGGAACUUUUGUGUUUCUUCUGUUAACGAGGAAACGCAUGUCGUAGACAACGGUUCGAACGUGGCUGAAUCUUUUGCAGAGCUUGUUUUUCUUGGUGCUACGUUGCAGUUAAGGGGAGUGGCUCCUGUUAGUCAGCCAUUAGUGGAUUCUUCUGGGAACAUUCUUGUUUAUAAUGGUGAAAUAUUUGGAGGAAUUGAGGUUGGUGGCGACAGCAAUGACACUGAAGUUCUUUUGCAAUCUUUGGGAAAGUGCUGUUCCUGCCUUUCCCAGGAACAUACAACAACAUGCAAUUUUAAAGGACAAGGGAAAGGUUCUGUUCCUGAUGUUCUUUCCGUGAUUAAAGGACCAUGGACUAUCAUUUACUGGCAGGAAAGUUCAAAAACCUUGUGGUUUGGUCGAGAUGCUUUUGGUCGGCGAAGCCUCCUUGUGCACUGGCCAACUAUGGAGGAUUCCCGUUUUCUGUUAUCAUCCGUGUCGUCAACUUCUUCUAGUUUACAAUAUUCUGGCUUUGAAGUUGAAAGUGGGACUGAUGGCAACAAAUUUUGGGAAGAGCUUUCAUGCGGGAUAUACAGUAUGUCAGUGGAUGCUACAAAAUUAGAUGGGAGAUUUUUUGGUGACAUCAAGAAACAUGAAUGGACUAAUGUUAUGCUGAAACAAUUGAUUGAAUGGGAAAGAGUUUCCGUUGAACCCAAACCUGAAGAGUUGUAUUUUUCCUGUUCUAAGACUCUUGGUGCUGAACAUGACAUAAAUUCAGCUUCUUCAGGUUCAGUAGCAGCGCAGAAUGUGCUGACAGCUUUGAGGGAAUCGAUGAUGCGACGCAUAUCACUGCAUAAAAUUUAUCAGGCAAUUAUAUGUGGUGCUAGACAAAAAGAAAAUGUUCCUGUGGCUGUUCUCUUCUCUGGUGGAUUAGAUUCUAUGAUUCUUGCAGCAUUAUUGGAUGAAUGCCUAGAUCCUAAUUAUGAGAUUGAUCUCCUUAAUGUGAGCUUUGAUGGUGAGUCUGCUCCUGAUAGAAUCAGCGCAAAAGCAGGAAUAAAGGAACUUAGAAGGGUUGCACCUUUAAGAAGGUGGAGACUUGUUCAUAUUGAUGCUGAUUUGUCAAAGUUGACCUGGGAAACAAAGCAUGUCUUGUCACUCAUUAAUCCUGCAAAUACCUACAUGGAUCUGAAUAUAGGAAUAGCUUUGUGGCUUGCUGCUCGUGGAGAAGGUUGGAUGUGUGAAGGAAGUAGUAAUGGUAUUGAUGAAGAUAAACGUGUCAGUUACACAUCCAGGGCCAGAAUUCUUCUUGUUGGUUCUGGUGCUGAUGAGCAAUGUGCUGGAUACAGUAGGCACAAAACAAAGUAUAGGCAUGAAAGUUGGCUCGGGUUACAUGAGGAAAUGAAAUUGGACAUGCAGAGAAUUUGGAAAAGAAAUCUAGGAAGAGAUGAUAGAUGUAUUGCUGAUAAUGGAAAGGAGUCUUUUACUAGGCUAGAUUUCCUUUCUUGGAUGAAGACGUUAUUAGGACUCUUUUGGAUAUUCCUCUUUGGGAGGUUGCCGAUCUUGAUCAACCAAGUGGAAAAGGUGAUAAGAAGAUUUUGAGAGAGGUUGCUGAAAUACUUGGUUUGCAUAAUGCUGCAAUUCUGCCAAAGAGAGCAAUUCAGUUUGGAUCAAGAAUUGCGAGGGAGUCAAAUCGUAAGAAUUUUGGAAGUAAUCGUGCAGCCAACCAGGCAUCUGCAGGAAGUGUAGUGAUUAAUGUACCAUCUUACUUCAGUUGAUAUAGCACCCUGAAGCGUUAAAUGCUGGAUUCAAGCCGACUGCAGCCUUGUUCUAGUCAGCUAAUGUGCAUCGCAGCUUUCCCGUUCCAACGGCAUCAGAAUGCAGGAUUGUGUUUUCACAUUUCUUCAGAAAAUUAUGAAGCAGUGGCUGUUUGAGGAUGGGUUUCACCCGCAGACAAACUCAGGCAGUGUAAUGGAUGCUGCCCUGAUGUAUGUUUUUGGUCCAUUUUGAGAGAGAGCUAAUUUUAUACAUUAUGUACCAUGCUCGAUUCCAGAACAACUUUGUUUAUUUCUCUCUUUUCUGAUUACGGAAAGAGGUAUUUGAACUUUAUUUUUUGAACAGGAUCAUAGCCUAAUUAUUGAACCAAAUCUUUGGGUGCGGAA